UACGUAGGGUGCAAGCGUUAAUCGGAAUUACUGGGCGUAAAGCGUACGCAGGCGGUGAUGUAAGACAGUUGUGAAAUCCCCGGGCUCAACCUGGGAACUGCAUCUGUGACUGCAUUGCUGGAGUGCGGCAGAGGGGGAUGGAAUUCCGCGUGUAGCAGUGAAAUGCGUAGAUAUGCGGAGGAACACCGAUGGCGAAGGCAAUCCCCUGGGCCUGCACUGACGCUCAUGCACGAAAGCGUGGGGAGCAAACAGG
rnacentral:rRNA from 1 species